UCUUCAUGAUCUCUGGAAUACAUCUAAGUGGACUGAAGUUGUUGUUCUCAGUUUUGGGAUUAUUCUGCUGUCAGCCAUGCCUGCAGUCUUUCAAGCCUUGAACAACGUUUGCUUCGCACAAUUUUUUGAUAUACAUAUGUCAGUGCGAUAUAUUCUAGGUAUAUCAAAUUGUCUUUUACUGCAAUUGUAUGCUUUAGAAAAUCCUUCUUGUCAGGCCAAGACUUUGGGCAAUUAAUUCAGAUGUUGAACACUCAGUCCCUUGUGUGACCUGUAUAUAUGACAAUUACCAGAAAAGUUUAGAUCAUCUCAUGCAGGGUUUGAACCUAAACCUUUCAGAUCUUUAACCACUAGGCUGUUCUGAUGUGUAAUGGUCAUAUGUGUUUAAAUCAACUGAUUGUUGUCAUGCAGAGUCGUUAGGACACGUUUCCAUGCAGUCAAGCAACUUUCUUCAAAUGCGUCUUCUCUUCUAUAGAUCAUCAAGUGUUGAUGAAUCCAUGAUCACAAUGACAUAUGCCUUUGGGGGAAUUUCUGCAGCCAUAUCAUUAAUAGUUCUUCCAAUUCCUGCAAUUCGCCAGUACCUUUGUUUACAACUUGGCACAUAUCUACUUCGUAUGCUUAUAUGGAGAUGUUAUUUAGUUUGGGUAAAUGUUAUGGUUGUUACACUCACUGGGCAUAGUGCAUUUAUUAUAUAUUAUCUCACCAAGAUUCUGGAGUAUACUAACGGUAAGCUGGUAUCAAAUUUCGGCAAACUCUGUGUCCCUAUUCAAUCUCAAAGCAUAAAUCACUUUACCUUAGUGUUAUUAUAAUUUUAGUGGUUUGUAUGCUAUGCGAUACAUGUCAUUAGUUUUGUUAGUUUUUAUGGUAUAGCAUAGGUUUCCAGCAGUACUAACCUGACUAUAAAAAUGUGUCAUUCAUUACAGAGCGCUUUGGAUGGAUCUUUGUCACAGUUAUGCUGCAUAUCUUGACUGCAAUUUCACCCACACGAUUCCCCAGAAAAGUUCCUGAUGUAAUCUACACUACUUUGUUCAUGUAUGGAGUGGCAGGUCUACCAGUGGUCAACUCUGUUUCUCUUGCUACAGAGUUAAUAUUGCAAGUAUACAAAGGGGAGAGAACGGUGGAUGAUCUGCGUGUAAUAGUGCUGGCGUUUGAAAGCAUUAUGCCUGGUGUGUGGCUGGUUUUACAGAUCCAUGCAUACUGUG